AUGCCAAAGAAGCAGAAAAAGUCACAAGCUGCAAAACAACACUGGAAGAAGUUCCAUGAGUUUCACAGUGUACCAAUAUGUGAACAAGCUGAGUUUGAUUUUCCUCAGAGCUCUGCAGAAGACAGUGUGUCUACAAAGACCAAUGCUGACAGUGUCAAACAGGCGGGUCAACAUAUUCCUGCACAUGUACAACAGGUAUCCUAUGCUGAUGCUGUAAAGAGUGGACUGCAGCUUGAAUUUAAUGAACAACAUGAGGUGUCAAGUGCCCCACAGGUGGGUUAUGCUGAUUUUUUGAAAAGAGGCUGUCACAGUGAUGUGGCAGGACCAUCUCAUGCAGAAAGAGUGAACCUUGAAAACCAGCCCUCUGUUACAUAUGUCUGUGCAUCUCACAGCCAGGCUCAUCCUAAAUAUGGAGACUCCAGAAACAAGCAGUGCACAUGUAACUCACUCACAUUUCUUGCAUUCCUUCAUGAGAAUGAAAACAUGACUACAGCUGACCUUAAUCUGGUCUUGGAUAAAGGUGAUGUGAUGUACAAAGAGGCCAAGAAAAGAUUUCCUAAAAAUAUUCAUUUGGCAACCGAUGAGCUGCCAGAUAAAGUUGAUGCUCGCAGGUCUAUAUAUUAUGUCGAUAUGACACAGCCUUCCCGGUAUGGAACAUUUGACGAACCUUCAGAAGAAGCAGUAGAUACCUUUCUCAGCUUAGAAGCAGGACUGAGCUGCCUGUUAUCAGAUGUGCAGUAUGCCUUACUGAUUAUGAGUGGAUUGUGUAUCGCAGUGUUCAGAUCCACAUCAGGCAAAUAUGGUUUCUUUGAUCCACACUCCAGAACACCCAGUGGUCUUCCUCUACCACUACUGCCACGUAAUCAUGGUACAGCAGUGAUGCUGAAAUUCACACUCCUCAGUGACAUGAUUAAGAGGAUCCAAGAUUCUUAUGAAAUGAUGGAGAUAUCACCUUCUUGUAACUAUGAGCUGAAGCCUGUGCAGUUUUACAGUAUGAGCACAGUCAACCUGAGUGAUACUAUCACAGACACAGUCUGCAGACCAACAGCUGCCACUGCUGUGGCAUCUACUCACUCUGACACAACUGUUCAUGAAGCAAACCCCUCUACUCCAAGGAGAAACACAACCACUGAUCUUACUGAGGUCUCUCCAAUGUCUGUUUGUACACCACUGGUGAAACAACAAGAAGUCUACAUGACUGAGUUCACAUCACAUGAAGCUCAUGAGAAUGAAUUUACUAAUAUACCAACUGAAGACCAAUCCAGUCAAUUUAAUUUCCUUUUAUCAAAUGAUGCUUUUUCAUGUCAAUCAAAUGCUGCAAUAAAAAAUGGUGCUGCCUGUGAUCUUUCUGAUACAGUUUUACAAAAAAUCUGUAACAUGACAAAAGUUACUAAACACCAAAGGCGCAAAAUGAAAAGAAGAUUAAUGACAUCAGACAAACCAAGAAAUCAGAGAAAAGAAAACCAAAAAAGGAAAGAACGACAGAAGUAUGCUUCAAACAAAGAUUACCAAGAAAAGAAAAAAUCUUGCACAAGCAAGGCAUAUAAAAACAACCCUGAAGUUAAACGGAAACAACAACAGUAUAUGAAAAGACGUUACUGUGAGAAUGAUGAAUUCAGGCAGAAAAAACAACAAUAUAUUAAAAGACGUUAUUAUGACAAUGCUGAAUUUAGACACAAACAAAAAGAAUAUAUUAAGAGACAUUUUUCUGAAAAUGCUACAGUUAGACAGAAACAACAACAAUAUGUUAAAAGACGUUAUAAUGAAAAUGCUGAAUUUAGACAAAAACAAAAAAACUACAUCACUAAAAGGUAUCGAGAAAGCCCAGAAUUCAGAGAGAGACAGAGAUCUCGAGUUACUCAGCGUUAUGCACGUGACAAUGCAUUCAGACGAAGACACAAACAACUGAUGAAACAACUAAUGCGAGACAGGUAUCAAAGUAAUCUUGCAUUCAGGAUUAUGCACAACAUGAGAUGUGCCAUGAAAAUAAAAAGGAAAUACAGAUGGGUGAACAGACAAACCCAUGAGAGUGACAACAGUGUGAUCAAUGAGGCCAUAUCUAUGUUCAAAUCACAAAUCAAAGUUGGACCAUCAUACCCAUGUACUGUAUGUUUCAAGGCUUCAUUUCCAAACCAAGUGCGACCCUGUACAAGGUCAAAAUAUGUGAAAAACCCACAUGUGGUUGCAACAUGUUUGACAGGAAGGUUUGUUCAUCUUUGUGAUGAAAACUGCAGAAAUGAGCAGUGCAAUGUGCCUGAUGAGAGAAAGAGAGAGUGGAUUUGUCACACCUGCCACAAUCAUCUUAAAAAUGGAUCCAUGCCAGCACUUGCUGCUGCCAAUAAACUGGAGCUUGCUGAUAUUCCACCUGAACUGUCUGAU
rnacentral:lncRNA from 1 species